ensembl:lncRNA
UUGGGACUUCCUCAGGGUAGGGAGGAGGGGCAGAAGAGGGCCUGCCUCUGAAAGCCAGCUGCCUCCCUCAACUAAGACUAUGUGAGUCAGAGGAACCGGGAAAGGGAAUAUAAGCUGCCCAUAGCUCAGUGGGCUUGAAGGCCUGAUGUAAACACUCAGAGGGCGGGACCUGCCGGCAGCCUUCUCUUUCUGUGCUUUGUGCUCGGAGUCACCCCCCUAGAGUAAUUUGUAACGGAUCCCCAGGACCUGCUUGGUGUCAGCCUCUGUGCGGCUCCACCUGGAGGGUCUGGGGGAGUAGCGGUGUGUCUUGCUGAGAGGUGCUGUGGGUGAAGAUGGUGAAGGUGAGUCAUCUCCUUGGACAUUUCCAAGACACAAGAUCCAGAGACCUGACUGCUCCAUCCCGAGAGCCAAGAGGUCCUCAGUAGGAGGGGCCACACACGAACACACAGUGUCAACCGAGUGCGCCAGCUGGGAGACAAGUCACGACCCUCUGGGCAGGAACCCUGGACUUCUUAUCAACCUACCUAGGAACUGACUCUUUCACUAGAAUCCUGCAAGUCAUGUGACAUGACCAAGAUAUAUACACAGUAAGUGAUCAGUUUGAAUAUGCUAUUCUAGCCCUAAAAAGGAGAUAUUCUAAUUGGCCUCUCUCCUCUCCCCCUCCUCAAAAAUAAAAUCCCCCCUCUUUUUUUGUGCCUUUGCUUUUGGUUCCCCGAAUAUUUGAGUUUGUGUUGUAUAGAUCAGCCACUCACAAUUUCUUUAGCUAUUACAAGCAAUCCUGAAAUAAGCAUUCUUAAACUUUCUAUACUUGAGAUUAACUUGGAAAAGUGCUAUGUCAACGGAUAUGGCCACUUAAAAAUUUUAUGUAUGUUGUCAAAUUGCCCUCGUAAAACGUAUAGCAAUUUGUCUUCCUAAAGUGG